rnacentral:lncRNA from 1 species
UGGAGAUUCAGAGACGUCCUUCCUCAAGAAGGAACCUCUGCCUGGCCUUCAGCAGGGCCACUGUCAUGUGCGAUAUUCACUUAGAGCCUUAUCACAUUUGUGGCUGUAGAGGUGUUUGCGUGCCUUGUUUAAUUUAUCCCACUAGACUGCCUUUCGAACGGAGCCCGGGGAGGACAGGCUGGCAGAGGAGGGAGGAGGGUUUCUAGCUGAGAGAGACUGCGGCUGUGGGCCUGCAGCCUACCCCUCUUCAAGCUCUCCGGAGCCGUUCCUGCGAAACCAGCCCCCACAAGUGGCUGAUGCUCCUGUCCCUCUUCUGGCCUGAUUGCUCCCUCUCCUGACCCCUAAGCGUAGUUACCUACUCAGGACUAAAACAAAACAAUCCAGAAAGAAUGCUUUCUAAGAAUAAAGAAAAACAAAACAAACGCCUGAUGAAGAUCAAAGUCUCUACAUGGCAUGGAAGGACCCUAACCACCUUGCAUGAACCUGCAAAGGAUUUGAUGCUAGUGACAUCUGAUGAGCUCUAGGGCCAUGGGUAAAUCCCUGAAUCACAGGGAGCACCAUCUGUAAAGCAGUGAUAAUGAUACAUUUUUUCAUUUGUAAAGUGAUGAUUUAAAAAAAUAUCCUACCUCAUGGUAUCUUCAUGAAAAUGAAACAAGAUAAUGAAUGAAAAA